AGAAAGCCUUCACGCGUGGCACAUUUAUGUUCUACUGGGAGAAAUCAGACAAAGAAAAUAAGUUAAGUAGUAGGUUGGAAUCUGGAGAAGAGAGAAAUAGAGCAGAAUGAAGAAGAUUGCGCAUGGGUAAGGCCGAGAGCAAAGCUGCAGCUUGAAAUGGUUCUGGCCUUGCACAAAGAGCAGGAAGAGGUAAGAAUCCACAGUGUCUUCACAGUGGCACACCCAGCACCAAAGCUCCCAAAGGCCACCCAUCCCCUACCAGUGUGAAAGACGGCAGGUGUGAGAUAGCGAAUCUUCACUGGUGCUUGACUAGAUGAACAUCCCCUGGAGACACUACUCUGGGCAUGCCUGUGAAGAUGUUUCUAGAAGACUGACCCUGAGUGUGCACAACACCCUCCCAGGGGAUAGGGUUCUAUACUAAAUAAAAAAGAACAAAGGAGAAUCUGAGCUGAACGCCAGGGUUCAUCUAUAUGGAUACAAUGUGACCAGCUCACCCCCAGACACUGUGUCCUCCCCAUCGGGGUAGAGCUUACCCCCUUAAACACCUUAAACCAGAGCCAAAAGAAAUCCUUCCUUACUUCUUCAGUUGCUUUCCUCAAGUAUUUUAUUAUAACAACAACAACAACAAUAACAAAGUAACUAAAUAAAGUCUGUUUGUAGCUAGAAGAAUUUCAGGUAGACCAAAGAGUAACUAACAUUCAUUUUUGAGUAACUUUUAAUGUUGGAACUGACCAUGAAAAAGCAUUGUAUUAUUUUUAAAUCGUUUGGCUGUUGAUCAUGCAGUGCCUUGAAAUGCAUGUAUAUCAAUCUAGUUUUUUUGUUUGUUUGUUUUGUUUCGUUUUGUUUCUGAAGGAGUCUUGUUAAGUAGCCCAGGCUGGCCUCAAACUCUCGAUUCUCCGAACUGGAGAACUGGAAGGUGGUGCUGCUCCCUUUCACACCAGCUAGGCUUCUUUGGUCAUGUCUCAUCUUCUUAGGAUCUUUAAUGACCCUUCAUAGGAAUCCAGUGCAAUUCCUAGAGACUCAGAAACCAAGGCAACUUCUAUGGGUCAGCAAACAACUGAAGAUAAAAAUAUUUCUACCUGGCAACUUUCCUCUCCAAAGGGCUAGCCCAGUCCUGAAUUCUCACUUGCCUGUGGGUUUUCACUAACCACUCUCCUCCAGGAAGUAACUUGGGCCUUGCUAAAGAUAUAUCUAAAGGCUUCUAUUUGUCCUGGCCAGUUCCUUCCUGUGGCCUGAAACCCAUGAUCGUGUGUUAGAGGAAGGGAGCCAGCUGCAAGUGCUGAGCACAUUGAUAAAGCAUGUGUUCUCUGCUCCCCCCGCCCCCUUAUGUUCUGAGGUCCCAGACACCUCCCAAUCCCUCUACCCCUCCCAGCGCGACUCAGUGGUUUCUCUGUGCUGUGGAGGACAAGCAUUUCAGAUGAAUUGCUUCCUGGGAUGAGAACAGUUGCUGGGUUGUAAUGGUUACUUACAGUUCUUCUUUGACAUCUCAGAAUCGUAUCCCUUCUGACACUCGGACCAAAAAUAUACGCUGGUGUGCCUCCAGGCCACACUCUUUCCGUCUCCUGUAAACACAGGGCCUCUGUGUCAUGUGCAUAGCUAUGGUGUCUUCUGUACCGUGCUUGACUCUCAGAACUGAGGAAGGAGUAGGGUGGAGACUUGGGGCAUGCCAGAGGCCUGGCCAGGCCAUUCCCUAGGCAGUAGGCUACUGGGAAAGAAAAAUCUUUGCACCCUUCACACUUAGGAUCAAAUUCUACCUCUGCUCUUCCCUGUGUAGGCUUGGGUGAAUCGCCUGCCUUCCUACCUAUCUUAGUAUUUAGUAAGAUUUUACAAUCCCUGCCUUGUUAUAAGCACGAGAAAACCCAGGUGGGAUAACUGGUAUAUAAUAAAUGCUCCAAGAGAUAUAAACCUAAGAGAUGGAAAUAAUUCACAAGGAACCCAAAAAAGUAGAUGCCCUUGUUAACAGUCCCAUUAUCCCAGGGUAGGAAAUUCUAUAUACAGUCAGAGGUGUGAACAUGGGAAUGUCUGCAGCCAACCUAGGUUCUUUGACCUUGACUGAGGAUUUUCCAGGCCAGUAACCAUGGAUACAUUCCUGACUAACUUCUGAUUAUGCUUUAUAGAAGGUUUAGUGUAUCUCUGCAGCCUUUCAAGGCUGGUUAUCACACCAAUGUCUUUCCUCUUUUGAUAAGAUAAGGAGGGAGCCAAAGUAAAGAAAUAAAAUCUC
rnacentral:lncRNA from 1 species